UUCUCAAGAUAUGGAACCUGAACGAACACUCCGGCGUCGUUGGCGCCUUCAACUGCCAAGGCGCCGGCUGGUGCCGGGUAGCCAAGAAGAACCUCAUCCAUGACCAGCAGCCCGGAACGGUGAGCGGCGUCAUCCGGGCGCAGGACGUGGAGCACCUUGCAAGGGUGGCUGAUCACGGCUGGAACGGCGACGUGGUCGUGUACUCGCACGUGGGAGGUAAACAUCACCUUUUUUUUUGCUGGUCCUGAUGAACAGUCAGAUCAUUGUCAAGCUAGGAGACAUCAGUCGCGUUCUCGUGACCUUUUUUCUGUUUCAUCUUGUUAACAACGGACAACGAACCAUAUCUGGCAGCAGAUUAGUGACAAGCAACCCCUUGUUGUGUUGUGUGCGUGUGUGUUUUCAGGGGAGGUGGUGUACCUGCCGAAGAACGCCUUGCUGCCUGUGACGUUGAGAUCGCGCGAGUACGAGGUGUUCACCGUCGUCCCUCUCAAGCACCUGCCAAACGGUGCCUCUUUGCGGCGAUCGGCCUUCUCGGCAUGUUCAACUCCGGUGGCGCGAUGAGGGAGCUGAGAUUCGGUGGUGAGGAUGCCGACGUCGAGCUCAAAGUGCGGGGCUCGGGCACGGUCGGAGCUUAUUCCUCGACGAAGCCAACGUGUGUCGCCGUCGAUUCUAAGGCGGUUGGUUUCUCCUACGAUGGCACCUGUGGCCUCAUCAGCUUCGAGCUCGGCAUCCCCGACCAAGAAAUGUACUUGUGGACGGUUACAGUAGGGUACUGAAGUUACAAUUGAGAAUUGAGAUAGAUUUUCUAAUGCGUCAGAGAACGCCGGUGGUGUAGGUAUUCUGAUUUAUCCAGUGUUGUACUUUCUACUGUUAGUUAUAUAUAUUCUGUACACAUCCCGGGAUUUUAUGACAAAUCUAGAUAAGGGGCGGUCCUUAGAUUUUAGGAGCCUAGAAUGAAAUUUUAAAUGAAAUUUUAAAUAGAAGCCCUUGUUAAUAUUGUAUAUUGAUUUUACCAAUAAAAAUCAAAUGUGAUCAAUUAAAAAUCACAACCUUGAUAAGUUUUUUAUGCUCCCGCGAGUGUGUUGAAAGAUGUCUUCCGUCACCGUCUUAGCUGACAUGGUGCUUUUAGUUUGAGAGGUCACUUUAUUCUAGACUAGCAAAGUAUCCAUAUAUUGUUAUGAUUUUUAUUUGUACUUAAGUAUUGAAUAUAAAAAACAAAGGCAAGUGUAUUGUAUUGGCUAAGUGGAUGUGAAUAUAGGUGUAGAGCCAACAACCAUUGUUCAAUUCUCAUUUAUACAUAAUUUUAAUAUUUUUUACUAUUUAAAUGUGGGCCACGAAGUACAACGACGGUGGAAACCGUGAAAUCAGAAAAACUAGUGCUUUAAUCACUUCUUUCUAGAUAAGUUGAUUUAUCAUGGGUUUGUCAUAUAAAUUUGAUAGAAUGGCUAUAUUUCUUAUGCUAGUAAUUAUUAUUAUUAGCUUGUAAAGAAUAAGGUAGCAGCGGAUCAAUCCGUUUAAUUCACUAAGCAAACUAAUAAUAAUAAUAAGUAAAAAGUUAAUAUAGACAUAUAGUACUCGUUCUUCAAACCAUACACAUAAAUAUAGCAAUUUUACAUUAUUAAUGUUAUUUAUGUGUAUCAGAUGGAUCCCUACGGCCUAAGGGCCCCCGGAUCUGUCACACCAUCCGAACCCCCUCCCCUUCAGGUCUGACACUGAUCUAGUGUAUCAUGGAUAAUUUUUACAUAUAUGAUGAUUUAGUAUAUAGAAACCCGUGUUACGAACUUUAUUAUAUAAAUAAAAUAUAUUUAUAAAAAUAACUAAAUGAAAGAAACUAAACAAUGACGGCGACAAUCUUGAUAACGAGCCACAUGUUGAUCGGAGCGACGACAACCCAAAACUCUUCAUAGUAGUCUUCAUCUUGUGUCCUUGUUCUGGUAGUGAUGUGGUUCAUGUAUUCUGUGCAUAGAUACGUGAUUCAUAAAUGAAAGCAUAGAUACAUGAUUCAUCAUCCCACUUUUGUGAUGUGGUUCAUGCAUUCUGUGCAUUAUAUCCCUACAAUAUACUACUCUUUAAAUAUCUCUCACUAUUUCAUUACAGCAUUCACUCCCACCGAAAUACUCAUAUGCAUGAUAUUAUAUACAUGGUAGUUCAUGUCUUUCCCCACCCACUGGAAUACUCUGUCUGCAUCGAAAUACUCCUAUAUAAAAUGUCAAUUCAUAUUGCAACCACCACUUUUAUAGAUUGAUAAGAUAUUGGAGGCAAACAAAUCAUGUUGAUGUGGUUCAUGUAUUCUGUGCAUAGAUACGUGAUUCAUAAAUGAAAGCAUAGAUACAUGAUUCAUCAUCCCACUUUUGUGAUGUGGUUCAUGCAUUCUGUGCAUUAUAUCCCUACAAUAUACUACUCUUUAAAUAUCUCUCACUAUUUCAUUACAGCAUUCACUCCACCGAAAUACUCUUAUAUGCAUGAUAUUAUAUAUAUGGUAGUUCAUGUUUUUCCCCACCCACUGGAAUACUUAGUCUGCACCGAAAUACUCUUAUAUGCAAUGUCAAUCCAUAUUGCAACCACCAGUUUUAUAGUUUGAUAAGAUAUUGGAGGCAAACAAAUCAUGUUGUCGUAAAAAAUAGGAUGUUAAUCAAUUGUUCAUAUGUAAGAAACGACAAGAUGUCAUUCCUAUUAUGAUCGUUUGUAACCCGGGGUCACCCCAUGUGAGAAGUAAGUUAACCUCCAUAUCAUCACGAUAGUGUAUUGUAACCCACUGGGGAUUCCACCUCUGCUUCUCUAACUUCGACGUCGAUCGUAAUCACCAAUUAGUUAAGUCUGAAUUUCCUCAGGGUCGCACACGCAUGACAUCACCUCCGCGGACUUCGUGGUCAAGAUCGAUCGCUAUCGUGCUGUCAUUGAUUAGUGAUUUGUAAAUUCUAAAUUUAAAAUAUGUUAUAUAUACAGUGAAGUAAAGUUUAAUUUAUUUUUAUCUUUAUAUACAACGUGUUUGGCAUUUACAUGUAAAAUUUUGAAUAAUUUAAUCACCCCUAUUAUUGAGAAUAAAGUUUUGUUUAUGUUCUAUUUUCUAUCAUGAUACCCAUGUGAGAAAUAUUUUUCCCAACCCCGUCAGGUGCACUCACGGUGCGCCGCCAUAGCCCUGACCGCCUACGACAGAAAACUGUCAUAAGUAAAACGCUGCUUGUGCAUGGCUGCUUUUUCCACUGCUGCAAGGACGCUCUCGUAGGAUCUAAUAUUAGGGUUUCUGUCAUAGGAUCUGAUAAAAUAAAUUCACGAGCGUGAAAAGCUAAUAGAAUUAGAUGAAAUAGAUGGAGAUAAAAUAAACUCACGAGAGCCUUAUGAAAUUUCUUAUGGAACAUAUGUUCCAGUCGUUCGAUAUUCUUUUCACAGUGUUCUCAAGAUAUGGAACCUGAACGAACACUCAGGCAUCGUUGGCGCCUUCAACUGUCAAGGCACUGGUUGGUGCCGGGUAGCCAAGAAGUACCUCAUCCACGACCACCAGCCCAGAACGGUGAGCGGCGUCAUCUCGGCGUAGGACGUGAAGCACCUUGCAAGGGUGGCUGAUCACGGCUAGAAUGGCGACGUGGUCGUGUAUUCGCACGUGGGAGGUAAACCAUCAUCUUUUUUUAUGAACAGUCAGAUCAUUGUCAAGCUAGGGGACAUCAGUCUCGUUCUCGUGACCCCUUUUCUGUUUCAUGUUUUUAACAACGGACAACGAACUGUACCUGUCAGCACAUCAGUGACAAGCAACCCCUUAUUGUGUUGUGUGCGUGUGUGUUUUCAGGGGAGGUGGUGUACCUGCCGAAGAACAC
rnacentral:lncRNA from 1 species